rnacentral:rRNA from 1 species
AGGACGAACGCUGGCGGCGUGCUUAACACAUGCAAGUCGAGCGGAAAGGCCCUUCGGGGUACUCGAGCGGCGAACGGGUGAGUAACACGUGAGUAACCUGCCCCUAGCUCUGGGAUAGCUCCGGGAAACCGGGAUUAAUACCAGAUACGACCACUUUAGACAUCUGUCGUGGUGUAAAGGAUUCUGGCUAGGGAUGGGCCCGCGGCCUAUCAGCUUGUUGGUGGGGUAAUGGCCCACCAAGGCAACGACGGGUA